ACGCUCGACACCUACGGGAGUCAGCAGUGGGGAAUAUUGCACAAUGGGGGAAACCCUGAUGCAGCGACGCCGCGUGGAGGAAGAAGGUCUUCGGAUUGUAAACUCCUGUUGUUGGGGAAAAAGAGGAUGGUACCCAACAAGGAAGUGACGGCUAACUACGUGUCAGCAGCCGCGGUAAUCUGAGCGGGCUGGCAAGGC
rnacentral:rRNA from 1 species